rnacentral:rRNA from 1 species
UACAGAGACUGCAAGCGUUAUUCGGAUUCACUGGGCGUAAAGGGUGCGUAGGCGGCCUUGUAAGUCAGGGGUGAAAGACGGUAGCUCAACUAUCGCAGUGCCUUUGAUACUGCAGGGCUUGAAUGUACUUGAGGUAGGCGGAAUGUGACAAGUAGCGGUGAAAUGCAUAGAUAUGUCACAGAACACCAAUUGCGAAGGCAGCUUACUAAAGUAUGAUUGACGCUGAGGCACGAAAGCGUGGGGAUCAAACAGG